AUGACUUUUACCACUACUUUUUCCGCCCCAAAUAUAAAAGAACGGCUGUUGUACAUCGAUAAAAUUUUGACGUAACGAAUCUAGCAGUACAAGACUGUUUUCCGCAUAAAAAUUAUCGAAAGUUUCAUCAUCAACUUGAUGAAUGGGUAAUGGUAAUUGCAAAGAAAUAUUUUCAGUCCUAUAAAAAUUCAAUAACUUUAAAAGGAUAACGGAAAAGAAUGAUUUUGAGAAGUAGAAAAAGAAAAUAUAUUGUUUUAACUUUCAAAUACCUUCCAACUAAAAAAGCAGUUAAAAGCAAAUUUCUUUUGUCUUUAAAAGCUAAAAAGCCAAAAGCAAAAACCCCGUAGUUAUCGCUAACCACAGGGUUCCCUUCGCCUCUCGGCCUAAAUUCAAUCUGGCGAUGCCCUACUCUCACAUGGGGAAACCCCACACUACCAUCGGCGUUACUGCGUUUUACUUCUGAGUUCGGAAUGGAAGGGCCAUCGCUCAACGGAUAAAAGGUACUCCGGGGAUAACAGGCUGAUACCGCCCAAGAGUUCAUAUCGACGGCGGUGUUUGGCACCUCGAUGUCGGCUCAUCACAUCCUGGGGCUGAAGUAGGUCCCAAGGGUAUGGCUGUUCGCCAUUUAAAGUGGUACGCGAGCUGGGUUUAGAACGUCGUGAGACAGUUCGGUCCCUAUCUGCCGUGGGCGUUGGAGAAUUGAGAGGGGCUGCUCCUAGUACGAGAGGACCGGAGUGGACGCAUCACUGGUGUACCAGUUGUCUCGCCAGAGGCACUGCUGGGUAGCUACAUGCGGAAGAGAUAAGUGCUGAAAGCAUCUAAGCACGAAACUUGCCUUAAGAUGAGUUCUCCCAGUCUAUAAGACUGUAAGGGUUGUUGGAGACUACGACGUAGAUAGGUGUGGUGUGUAAGCGUAGUGAUACGUUGAGCUAACGCAUACUAAUUGCCCGAGAGGCUUAACUAU
rnacentral:rRNA from 1 species